UCAAAGCUCAAUUUAAGGCUCGAAACUUUUGAUGUGUCGAACUCGAGAAGCUAAGGUUUCGCUCGUUUUCUGGUUCGAAUUGCUCGUCUACAAAAAAGAUACUCGAUUUAGUGAUCAAUUGAACUACUCAUCUGAUGUUCGUGCUACAAAAGGCAAUUGAAAGUUGAGUACUAUAUAUGUGUUUAUGUUAACCUUUUCUGUUUUACCAGUUUAUGGAGAAGUGUAAGAGUCCUCUCUCUCCUCCCCACCUCACAAAUCUCAAUACUAUCAUUAAUACUAUGAAUAGUGAAUAUAUCCUUGGUCAUCAGAUGUAAGUCUUAUACAUUCAAGUCCUAUAUGUGUAACCCCAAUUCUUUUUCUCAAAUCAUAUAUAAAACCCUAGU
rnacentral:lncRNA from 1 species